UACGUAGGGUGCAAGCGUUAUCCGGAAUUAUUGGGCGUAAAGAGCUCGUAGGCGGUUUGUCGCGUCUGCUGUGAAAUCUGGGGGCUCAACCCCCAGCCUGCAGUGGGUACGGGCAGACUAGAGUGCGGUAGGGGAGAUUGGAAUUCCUGGUGUGGCGGUGGAAUGCGCAGAUAUCAGGAGGAACACCAAUGGCGAAGGCAGAUCUCUGGGCCGUAACUGACGCUGAGGAGCGAAAGCGUGGGUAGCAAACAGG
rnacentral:rRNA from 1 species